rnacentral:sRNA from 1 species
UGCAAUAAGUAGUCCAUAAGAAACAGUUCCAAUACAAAUCCAAGAUUGCUGCUUUUGGAAAAGAUGCCACAACUAGCCAUUGUUCCCGCAGUCCAUGUUGUCUGCCUGACACUAAGUAGUCCAUAAGAAACUGCUCUUACACACCGUACCUACUAGCCAUAGUUGCCGCAGCCCCUGUUUCCUCACACUAAGUAUUCCAUAAGAAACUGCCGUUACACACCGUGCCUAUGCCUAAAUUUCUGCCUUUGGAAAGAUAUGCUGCUG